GAGGGAUGUCUAAGGGGCAGUGGUGGCAAGCAGGGGGUCAGGCCACUCUCUCUCCCGGCCCCUAAAAGAGCACAAAUCAGGGUUCCCGAGACCACAGAGAUGAACAGUCAGAGAAAGGCAUCGCUGGCCUCAAGGAGCAUGGGACAGUUCCAUGGGGGAAAGGACAGCUCAGAACCUGAGAACCAGGAAGAACUUUCUCCUUUCUCAGGAAUACCCAUCACUGGAGCUUGUCGCCCCACUAAAGUGCUCUGGGGGUCCUGGGGUGCUUGCCCCUCUCUCCUCCAGCACUUGCCCACUCUGCUCUUCUGGCAGCUGAUGGUGGUUUCAGAAACAGUGAGGCCAGAAUCCCUAAAGCGCGCUCUGCUCACCAACCCCCACCCGCACCCCCUACCUCCAACCUAGAGCACUUGAGAUGACUAACUGCAGCGUGGAUGUCAAGGCAGGCCUGGAGCUCAGGAGGAGGGUACAGAGAGAAACCUGCUUUACCACUGGUGAACUUGACAUCAUGGUCUUGGACACGCACUGUGGAAAGAUGGGCUUGUACAUUCAAAAUGCAGGAAGCAGUGAGCUCCAGGAGAUGGUGAAGCUCCGGGAGUAGUGAAGAACAGGGAAGCCUGGCAUGCUGCAGUCCAUGGGGUCACACAGAGGUGGAAGGACUGAGUGACUGAACAAUAGCAACAAAGCAGUGAGCUCAAGGUCUGACCCAUAGCCCUUGCAUUCUGCUGAUGGGAAUGAGGGAAGACACCCAGAUGCACAGCCUCUGUAGCUGGAGACCAGACAGUGUUUCAUAGCAUCCUUCAUGACGGAGACCUUGAGGGUGGUUAUGUCCAAGGGCUGGUGAGUUGUCCGAGGAUGAGCCUCAAGGCCCAUGGCAGCAAGGAAAGCACUUCCUAUACAGCCUCCAAGUCUUCAGCAUGUUUGCAGGCACUUGGAUGGAGCUGUAGGUGGAAGACUCCUCAAGUUUGCAGACCAUCAAAUCUGAGAAGAGUAGGAAAUGCACUGUGUGAUAAAAGCUAACAGGUUUGCUCAGGCUGGGUGAAUAGGGCCCAUUUCUGAGAUGAGUCUGAAGACGGUUCAGUGUCACACUCUGCUUAUGGGGUCCAAGACAUCACCUGCCUCAGCAUGUGUGGGGAAAAAAAAAAACACGGAAGGAUCUGGGGUAUUCAGCAUAUUGCCAAUCAACUGUGUGGUUAAUCUGAACAAAACAGAGAUGUGAUCUUCAGCUACAUUGAAGAAGUUCUUGUUUUCCAAGAUUUCUUUGUCCUGUGAAUCCCAUUAAGGGAUUUCUUUUGGGUCCACUGACCACUCAAAUCAAAAACUUCUGGGGCUUGUUAAAAAUUCAGAUUUGGGGGCCCACCUAGGUUAUUCAUUCAGGCUGUAUAGGGAGGAAGCCCCAGAAGAU
rnacentral:lncRNA from 1 species